UGUGGCUUAGUGGUAGAGCACUCACCUGGCAUGUGCGAGGCCCUGGGUUCGAUCCUUAGCA
rnacentral:tRNA from 1 species